AAUUCAUGAUGUGGGCAUCUUUCAAUGUUUUAAAAUGCUCCCAAGCUUCGUGAAAACUUUCUCCUUCUAAUUGUUUAAAUGUUGUGACCUCCCUCCUUAGUU
rfam:Gossypium hirsutum cultivar TM-1 chromosome 2, whole genome shotgun sequence